UGGACUCCCUGGCUGGAAAAUGAGGGGCUUGCACAAGACAGGGCCUCGUGGUGGCCCCAGGGCUGCGCAUUCACAGGGCGCCGGGCACGGUGGCCCCACCAAUGCCUCAGACCUCCUCUAUGAGGCUGCUAACUCUCCGCCUGGCAGGUCUGAAAGCUGAGGCUCAGCCAGGAGUCACAGAGCUGGAAAGGGGGGCAGUCACGGCUCACUGUGGGCGUGGGGUAGGACAGAGAACCCUCCUCUGAUUCUGGAGGGCCACCUCUGCUCAGAGACAACACCCCGAGUGUGGUCAUCAAGAGGAGCUGACAGCUGGUGUGAGGUGUGGAAGCCAGGCCUGCUUGAGGUGCCGGUCGGCCGCAUUGUGCAAGCUUCCAGCAAAAGCUUCCUUUGCAGGUAAGAGUGGGCAUGUGACCCAGUUCUGACCAACGAGAUGAAAGCAGAGGAUCCUGGGGAAGGUUUCCCCUGUUGAGUUAAAAGGCAAAGAUUUCAAGGAAAAUAUGCGUUAUCCUGCUCAGAAUGUGGACUUGAUGGCAGGAGGUGGAGCAGCCAUCUUGUGACCACAAGGUGUUCCUGAGUGCCCCAUUAGGGACCAGUGCCCGAUGCUCGGCUGAGGCAAACCUUCCCCGGGUCUUACAGCACAAGAAACAGUGUGAAGUCUCCAAAUGCUGUUUUCUGGGGAGAGGAUGUUCCUUCAUUCUAAGAUUAUGUCCUUCGUAGCUUUUUGGUUUAAAAAUGUAAUUUAUUUCAUAAAAUGAAGUGAUAGUUGAUGAUGGGA